GGGAUGGGCGGCAGCCUACACAUGCAGUCGAGCGGCAGCGGAGAGUAGCUUGCUACUUUGCCGGCGAGCGGCGGACGGGUGAGUAAUGUCUGGGAAACUGCCUGAUGGAGGGGGAUAACUACUGGAAACGGUAGCUAAUACCGCAUAACGUCGCAAGACCAAAGAGGGGGACCUUCGGGCCUCUUGCCAUCAGAUGUGCCCAGAUGGGAUUAGCUAGUAGGUGGGGUAACGGCUCACCUAGGCGACGAUCCCUAGCUGGUCUGAGAGGAUGACCAGCCACACUGGAACUGAGACACGGUCCAGACUCCUACGGGAGGCAGCAGUGGGGAAUAUUGCACAAUGGGCGCAAGCCUGAUGCAGCCAUGCCGCGUGUAUGAAGAAGGCCUUCGGGUUGUAAAG
rnacentral:rRNA from 1 species